CCCCUCUGCUGUAGAGGGGGGGCAGUGAUGGAGCGGCUUGGUGGGCAUCUGGCGGCCAGCCGAGGUCAACCUGCUACACUGGCUAUCUAUGUUGAAUUCAACAAGCUUGUCACUGUUCCUCAUUCACUAUUGUAUAAAUAUCAGCAGGAGCAUGUGUUGGAGGAAACAGAAUAGGAGCUGUUGCAUAAGACAGAGCAGAUCUAAUAGGGUGCUGUAGCAAUCAUCCUGUGCUCAGGAGGUGGGGAUCCAGAAGAUGCACAGCACUUCAUGUAAAGGGAAAUUAUGAUAAAGGGGAUGUCUUCCUCCCUCACUGGCACAUGGCCAGGGUGAAACCUGAAGAGAGAAACCAGUGGAAUGAAAGAAAGCUGCUAAAUUACAGACCUAUGGGCAUUCAGGGUACUGUGCGAGUAAAUUAAGCAAUCUUGGGCAACCUUCCUGCGCUGAGUUGCUGCUGGGUGUUUGGAAACAGUGCAGGUCCAGCAGUGUUGAUGAGAUGAGUGCGCACUCUGUCCCACUGUUUUAAAAUCAUGUGGCCCAAACAGAGCAAAAUCCAGCAAGGCUAGAAAUGAAAGCUAAAGCAGCGUCUAAAAGAUCUGUCAUUAGACCUGACCUGCUCAGAUAUUAGCAACGUGCUGCUAUGGAUGGUCCUGCUUCAGCUAUCAACCAACCCAAGUGCCUACAAAAUGAAACUGGAUCAUUUAUGAAGCUAUGUGCUGCUGGUGACAUAUGUAUGUGUGUGCUUUUAGAAAAACUUGAUAUGGGGAAAUCCAAGCAUCUCUAUGGAAAAGAUGGCUAAGUGGCCAGCUUUAAGGUGAUAGGAGUCUUGAAUAAUGAUGAGUGGUAAAAAAACUUUAAGGCCUUUUAUUUAUUUCAUAAUGAAACAUAAUGUUAGCAAGUUAUAUUUGAAAGAAAUUAUUAAUUUGCCAGUUCUUUUGGAAUUUGAGAGCAUAAAUUGAAAGUUUCCUACCUCCUGUCCACUGAGGGGAGGACGUGUUUUGUUUUCAUUUCCAUUCCAGUUCUGAGAGUAAUAUUGAUGUAUGUGUCUUGGUUUCUCAUAGAAUAAAG